UACGUAGGGUGCGAGCGUUGUCCGGAAUUACUGGGCGUAAAGAGCUCGUAGGUGGUUUGUCGCGUUGUUCGUGAAAACUCACAACUCAAUUGUGGGCGUGCGGGCGAUACGGGCAGACUGGAGUACUGCAGGGGAGACUGGAAUUCCUGGUGUAGCGGUGGAAUGCGCAGAUAUCAGGAGGAACACCGGUGGCGAAGGCGGGUCUCUGGGCAGUAACUGACGCUGAGGAGCGAAAGCGUGGGAGCGAACAGG
rnacentral:rRNA from 1 species